ACAGCUGGCAGAUCCAAGGACCCCGUGACAUCCGUACUUGCAGCUGACAAUUUUCAAGAACUUGAAUUUUAAGGCUAAUAACAAAUAGGUUGAAACCCAGCUUCGCAAAGAUACAACACGUUGAAAGAAAUGUGGUGUGAUUUCACGCUGAAACUGUGAACUCCCCCUCGGACUUGGGGUUUGUGCAGCAUCCGAACAGAAAUCAACAAAAGAUUCUGAUACACGUUGAAUGUGACUGAAAAGAAGCUGCCAAAACUGUGCUCCAAGAAGAACAAGGCUUUGCACUUCAUCAGAGAAUCUGGUGGCUUUCAUGAGCCAGAGAACAACAGUGCUUAUGAAGUAGUUUC